GAGGGUAUAGCUCAAGUGGUAGAGCACAUGCUUACCAUGUAUGAGGUCCUAGGUUCAAUCCCCAGUACCUCCU
rfam:Camelus ferus unplaced genomic scaffold scaffold407, whole genome shotgun sequence.